UACAGGGGGUGCAAACGUUGCUCGGAAUCACUGGGCGUAAAGGGUGCGUAGGCGGGUCUUUUAAGUCAGAGGUGAAAUCCUGGAGCUCAACUCCAGAACUGCCUUUGAUACUGAGGAUCUUGAGUUCGGGAGAGGUGAGUGGAACUGCGAGUGUAGAGGUGAAAUUCGUAGAUAUUCGCAAGAACACCAGUGGCGAAGGCGGCUCACUGGCCCGGUACUGACGCUGAGGUGCGAAAGCGUGGGGAGCAAACAGG
rnacentral:rRNA from 1 species